rnacentral:rRNA from 1 species
AUGCAGUCGAGCGGAGAUGAGGUGCUUGCACCUUAUCUUAGCGGCGGACGGGUGAGUAAUGCUUAGGAAUCUGCCUAUUAGUGGGGGACAACAUUCCGAAAGGAAUGCUAAUACCGCAUACGCCCUACGGGGGAAAGCAGGGGAUCUUCGGACCUUGCGCUAAUAGAUGAGCCUAAGUCGGAUUAGCUAGUUGGUGGGGUAAAGGCCUACCAAGGCGACGAUCUGUAGCGGGUCUGAGAGGAUGAUCCGCCACACUGGGACUGAGACACGGCCCAGACUCCUACGGGAGGCAGCAGUGGGGAAUAUUGGACAAUGGGCGGAAGCCUGAUCCAGCCAUGCCGCGUGUGUGAAGAAGGCCUUUUGGUUGUAAAGCACUUUAAGCGAGGAGGAGGCUACUUAGAUUAAUACUCUAGGAUAGUGGACGUUACUCGCAGAAUAAGCACCGGCUAACUCUGUGCCAGCAGCCGCGGUAAUACAGAGGGUGCGAGCGUUAAUCGGAUUUACUGGGCGUAAAGCGUGCGUAGGCGGCUGAUUAAGUCGGAUGUGAAAUCCCUGAGCUUAACUUAGGAAUUGCAUUCGAUACUGGUCAGCUAGAGUAUGGGAGAGGAUGGUAGAAUUCCAGGUGUAGCGGUGAAAUGCGUAGAGAUCUGGAGGAAUACCGAUGGCGAACGCAGCCAUCUGGCCUAAUACUGACGCUGAG